AUGCAGGGAAACUUAAAUCCGUUUUACCUCAUUUCUACCAGAAUGUCACGGGCAACAAGAGGAAAAAAAACUAGACCAUCUUUACUCCACACAGACGCGUACAAAGCUCUCCUUCGCCCCCCAUUUGGAAAAUCUGACCAUAAUAUUAUCCUCCUGAUUCUUGCUUACAAGCAAAAACUAAAGCAGGAAGUACCAGUGACUCGCUCAGUACGGAAGUGGUCAGAUGACGCGGAUGCUAUGCCACAGGACUGUUUUGCUCUUCCUACUCCUCUUCCUACUCCUCUUCCUACCUUACUGUAUCAGCUGAAUAUUCCUCUUCCUACCUUACUGUAUCAGCUGAAUAUUCCUAUUCCUACCUUACUGUAUCAGCUGAAUACUCCUCUUCCUACUCCUCUUCCUACCUUUCCAAAGACAUGCCUUUUUAUUUGAAAUUCUCGACUCAAGGGAUGGCAAGGAUUCCAAUGUUUUUGUCGAGGGGGAAGUGAGUAUAACAGAGAAUGUUGCCGUCACGAAUGACGCCAUAUUCCCCAUUAUAGUGCAUUACUAUAAACCCUAUGGAAGUAGUGCACUGUUAUGUUAUUAGGUACCACUCCAUUCAGUUGAAGGCAUAUUAAUGUUGGCCUCAUAUAUUGAAUGUUAUUUACGUGUUGUACAGGUCUAUGUCCUCUUUCCUGGGCAGAGAGGUGUCUAUUUUGUCUAGGCUGGGCACCUCAGAGAGUAACCGUCCGUGGGAGACACUUUCUGUUCCAUCAGAAAUGGAAGAACGACAGCAGGAUUCAUUUUUAGAGGUAAUGUUUGUUACUGACUCAUGCCAUGGGGUGUAGGAGAUAAGAUUCUAACCACUAUAUGACACUGAGGACACCACCAGCCUUUUAACAUGCAAUGUAAAACGUCAGGAACCAUUAGGAGGGUGUGACUACAGAAUGUCACCAGUAGAUGGCGACCUGAGCAUUUGUAUUUUCCCAGGGCCAAGCUAUUGCAAUUGUUAAGGCUUGUUCGUGCUUGAUUGUCUGGUCUGCUAUUAGAAUAAGAACAUAACGUGGUAAUUUAGCAGCAGUUGUUUAUUGUGUGUUAACCUUUCCACAGUUGUGUGGACCUGCAACACAUUAAACUGGGGCUUUACCUUCUAUUAUCUGAGCCAACAUUGUUUUCCACACAAUCUUGUUAAGGAUUAGGAUAUUUUCCCCCAGAUGAGCAUCCCCUGAAGCUCAGCGGUGCCAUCCCUCCCCUCCCUCCCACUCCCAGGGACUAUCAGGCCCCGUGAUGCCAUCCCUCGCCCUCCCAGGGACUAUCAGGCCCCGUGAUGCCAUCCCUCGCCCUCCCGGGGAAUAUCAGGCCCCGUGACGCCAGCCCUCGCCCUCCCAGGGACCAUCAGGCCCUGUGACGCCAUCCCUCCCCCUCCCAGGGACUAUCAGGCCCACCGGUUGGGCCACAUCCGCAAGGAGCUAUCCCAUGCUCCCCCUCACGGCUGGGCCUUUGGGUCAGCAGAUCCCCCUCACGGCUGGGCCUUUGGGUCAGCAGCUCCCCCUCACGGCUGGGCCUUCGAGUCAGCGGCUCCCCCUCACGGCUGGGCCUUCGGGUCAGCGGCCCACCCUCACGGCUGGGCCUUCGGGUCAGCGGCUCCCCCUCACGGCUGGGCCUUCGGGUCAGCGGCCCACCCUCACGGCUGGGCCUUCGGGUAACUAAGCAGUUUAUCAGGAAUAUUUCAGCCUCACUACUCAGGGUCCAACUGUACUGUCCAUAACGCCGGAGUCGGACUGAAACACAAGAACUGAAGAGGUAUUUUUAGUACCAGGUUAUUAAUUAUCAUUACACUUCAUGUAUGGGGAAAUAUUUCUCUUUUUGGGGGUAGGGGGCCCCCUGGUACCAUUUUGAAACGGGCCCCCAAAUGUCUUCCCUGGCAUAACUCUGAUUACACUGAGGGAGACUAGACGGUAGGUUACAGUCCACGCUGUUUACGUCCCAAAUGACACAUUAUCCAUAUAACCUAUGAGACCUGGUAAAAAAGUAGUGCACUAUAUAGGAAAUAGGGUACCAUUCUGGACGGAGCUUCAGAUAAUAGGAGCUGAACCCCCUCAGAUCAGAGCUCAUAGUUGGUGUGUAUCUCUGCCCUCCAGCUCCUAUGUGGGGUAUGACCUAACGUCAGUUCCUGCUGCCAGCUGCCCUCCAGCUCCUAUGUGGGGUAUGACCUAACGUCAGUUCCUGCUACCAGCUGCCCUCCAGCUCCUAUGUGGGGUACGACCUAACGUCAGUUCCUGCUGCCAGCUGCCCUCCAGCUCUAUGUGGGAUACGACU
ensembl:lncRNA